UACGUGAGGGGCUAGCGUUGUCCGGAAUCAUUGGGCGUAAAGAGCGCGUAGGCGGCCAGGAUAAGUCCGGUGUGAAAGUCAAAGGCUCAACCUUUGAAUGCCGCUGGAAACUCUGUCUGGCUAGAGUCCGGGAGGGGCGGAGUGGAAUUCCUGGUGUAGCGGUGAAAUGCGCAGAUAUCGAGGAGGAACACCAAUGGCGAAGGCAGCUCGCUGGAACGGUACUGACGACUGGAGGCGACGAAGCGUGGGGAGCAAACAGG
rnacentral:rRNA from 1 species